GAAGUAGGGAAGAGCUUACCAUUCACCAGUUCUUCCAAAAUCUCUCACAGGAGAUGGGAUGAGAUCCACCAGACUUCUCAUAUGUCCAAAGAGGUGCUUUCCAGCCUCCACUUCAUCAGGCAAGUUCAGCUGUGCCUGCUCAUCUGGGGCCUCAAAAUGCGGAUUCACCUUCUUGCUCAGAUGAGAAAUCGCAGUCACGACCACCGAUCAGAUUUUGGCUUGCACACAGUGAACGCCAGAGCUCUCAAGCAGCAUAGACCCUGCAGGCUGAUCCAUGUUCCUAGACCACCAAUUCUUCUGGACCCGUCCAAUCAAACUAGCUUGUUUCUACAGCCCUGAUCUAGACGCAACGAGGCAGCUUGUUGAAACUCUGCUAUUUGUGCUUUUUUAAAGCAGGAUUGGGUGAGUUGUAUUUCUGUGUCUUAGUAGCUACAGAAAAUAAAACUAAAAACUAUUUCUGGAUCUGCCA
rnacentral:lncRNA from 1 species